CAGAACUAGAUGUGGCGGGGAAAAGGAAAGAUUGGCGCCGAGAGUUGCCGUCGCAGAGGACAGGCAGGGCCGCGCCGCCGCCGAGGAGGACCCGCAGGGUCGCGCCGCCGCCGCCCAAGUGAAGCGCUCCGCCUCGCCGCGGCGGUAAUUAGCGCCGCCGAGCCCCGCGGGAACCAGCUCCGCCGAGUCGCCGGGGAACUAGAAGAGCGCUGUCGUGCGCCGGGUAGCAGUGACUUGCCGCCGCGGUCCACGGAGGAGCGCCACCCUGACCACCACGUUCGGUUUCCCAGAAUUGAAUGUUGUGCAAUGGCAGAAAUUGGAAAGAGGACACCCAAAGUUGGUAUGAGGUUCAGAGAUUCGGAAGAGGCUUGGGAGUUUUGGGUAGAUUAUGGGGGUCACAUCGGCUUUGAUGUGAGGAAAAGAUCCACAAUCAAAAGCAGAUGUGAUGGUGUGAUUACUUCACGCUAGUUUGUUUGUUCCAAUGAAGGCCAUCGAAGGAAAAACCAAACAGAUCAUGAACCAAAACGUAUUAGAGCAGAAACAAGAACCAAUUGUAAGGCUCAUGUGAUUGUUACAUAUGAUCGAGUUGCCAACAAUUUUGAAGUCACCGAAGUUGAUUUGGAGCACAAUCACCACCUUCAAUUGCCACAAACCUGCCACUUGUUAGCAUCACAAAGGAAGAUUUCAGAAGUGCAAGCUUUCGAGAUAGAAAUAGCCGAUGAUUCUGGAAUUAUGCCAAAAGCUUCACAUGAGUAUGCUUGUCGUCUAGUUGGUGGCCCUAACAACCUUGGUUACACUUGCCGUGACCGAAAGAACCAUUUGCGAAGCAAGCGGCAGCGGGAGUUGGCUUAUGGACAGGCUGGAAGUAUGUUGAAUUAUUUUCGUGACAAGCAGGCUGAGAAUGCAGCAUUCCAAUACCAUUUGCAGUUGGAUAGUGAGGAGCAUAUAGCCAACAUAUUCUGGGUUGAUGCUAAAAUGCUACUUGACUAUGCACACUUUGGCGAUGUUGUCACAUUUGACACUACAUUUGGCACAAACAAAGAGUAUAGGCCAUUUGGUAUUUUUCUUGGGCUAAACUAUUUCAGAAAAACAAUCAUUUUUGGUGCUGCAUUGAUGUUCGAUGAAACACGUGACUCCUUUAUAUGGCUCUUUGAGACUUUUCUAGCCGCACAUAAUGGAAGGCAACCUAGAACUAUCUAUACAGAUCAAGAUGUUGCAAUGGGAAAAUCCAUAGAAAAGGUCUUCACAGAAUCAUAUCAUGGAUUGUGCACCUUCCAUAUAAUGCAAAAUGCUGUCAAACACUUAACUUCUGUGAAGGGCGAAGAAAAAGAUGGAAGUGGAAGAGAGAGAUGAAGUGGAGGAUGAAGAAAAAGAGCCUCAUAUUCUCACAGAUUUUGGUGCUUGUAUGUAUGGCUAUGAAGACAAGGUAGCAUUUGAAGAAGCGUUGCCAAUAUGAGGCUCAAAGUGCAUAAGCAAACUUGGUUAGAUAGUAUCUACAAGGUGAAAGAAAAAUGGGCCGAAUGUUAUAUGAGAGAUGUCUUUAGCUUGGGAGUGAGAAGUACACAAUUAAGUGAGAGCUUCAACAAUGCAUUGAAAAAUCAUUUGAAAUCAGAUUUUCAUAUUCUUCGAUUCUUGAUGCAUUUUGAGAGGACAAUGGCGGUAAAAAGAAGAGCUGAAUUAGAAUCUGAAUUCGAUGCAAUAAAGAAUAUACCAAUAAUUAAGAUGAAGACUCCUAUGUUGGUAGAAGCAAGCGAAGUAUACACUCCGAUUAUUUUUGAGGCUUUCCAAGGUGAGUAUGAAAGAUCAACGGCUGCAUGUUGUAGAGCAUUGGAUGGAAAUAACAGAUUUGUUGUUGCUAUUGCGAGGUUGCAUGGAGAUUUACAGUUUGAGGAGGAGCGCAUAGUGGUAGGUGAUCCUUUGACCAAAACGGUCUCAUGUAGUUGUGGGAUGUUCAAUAGGACAGGAAUCUUGUGUGCACAUGGUCUAAAAGUGCUUGAUUUGAUGAACAUAAAGACAUUGCCGGCACAUUAUGUCUUGAAGAGGUGGACUAGAGAAGCUCGCAGUGGAAGUAUUCAAGAUAGACAAGGAAGGAAUGUGGUAGAAAAUCCAAAAAUGGAAGCUGAACUUCGAUACAAGGAUUUGUCUCAUAAAUUUCACAAAAUGGCACAAAAAGCAGCCAACUCUCCACAAUGUUGUAUUCUAUUGGAUAAUGCACUUGAUUCCGUCGCUCCGCAUAUACAUGAUUUACCCAAUGCAUCCACUAGUGCCAUGAAUGAACUAUGUAAAGACAAAGAGAAUGUUUGACCCAAAUGUGCAGCAAGUAGAUGAGUUGCUUAGAUCUGCACGGCUGAAGAAAAAAGAGGUUCAGUCAAAGAACUUAAGGAGAAAGAAAAAUUGGCUUGAUAAGUUACUCAAGGGGAAGCACAGAGUAACUAAAGGACCAACAAAACAGGGAGAAAAGCCACAAAGGAAGAAGAAUGGUGUGCAACAAAAGAAAAAAGAUGGUGUGCAGCCUCAAGUAGAAGUGGAGAAGUAUGACAACAACAAAGAAGUAAAUUUGGUGCUUCAAGAGUGCAAUAAUAUUAUGAGUUUCACCCAACUCUUGACGGCUGACCAUGGAAGCUCCUUAGAUAAUAUUUUGUACAUGGUGGUGAUGAUGAUGAUUAUCUGUUCUAGCAUGGAACUUGUUAGAUACAGUAGUAUUUUGGACAUGGUUAACUAUAGUAGUAUGGGGUUAACUAUAUUAUUUUGUAGCCUAAGUGUACAAGCAAGUGGUACUGAAUUUGGAUGUAUUGACCUUUUGAAUUACAAGCAAGUGGUACUGAAUUUCAAUCAA